rnacentral:rRNA from 1 species
GAUGAACGCUGGCGGCGUGCCUAACACAUGCCAGUCGAACGAACAGACGAGGAGCUUGCUCCUCGGACGUUAACGGCGGACGGGCGAGUAACACGUGCAUAACCAACCUAUAAAACUGGGAUUACUUCGGGAAACCGGCGCUAAUACCGGAUAAUAUAUUGAACGGCUGGGUUCACUAGUGAUUGACGGUUUUGCUGUCUCAUAUAGAUGGAACCCCGCCGCAUUAGCUAGUUGGUAAGGGAACGGCUUACCAAGGCAACGAUGCGUAGCCGACCUCAGAGGGAGAUCGGCCACACUGGAACUGAGGCACGGCCGAGACACCUACGGGAGGACGCAGUAGGGAAUCUUCCGCGAGGGACGAGAGCCUGACAGAGCAACGCCGCGUGAGUGAUGAAGGUCUUAGGAUCGUAAAACUCUGUUAUUAGGAGAGAUCAAAUGCGUAAGUACCUAUGCACGUCUUGACGGUACCUGAUCAGAAAGCCCCGGCUAACUACGUG